UACGUAGGGGGCAAGCGUUAUCCGGAUUUACUGGGUGUAAAGGGAGCGUAGGUGGCAAGGCAAGUCAGAAGUGAAACCCUCGGGCUCAACCUGAGGCAUGCUUUUGAAACUGUCAAGCUGGAGUGCUGGAGAGGUAAGCGGAAUUCCUAGUGUAGCGGUGAAAUGCGUAGAUAUUAGGAGGAACACCGGUGGCGAAGGCGGCUUACUGGACAGUAACUGACACUGAGGCUCGAAAGCGUGGGAAGCAAACAGG
rnacentral:rRNA from 1 species